rnacentral:piRNA from 1 species
UGCAAAUCCUCUGGUGAUACACUGGGUUC